rnacentral:rRNA from 1 species
GACAGAGGAGCCAAGCGUUGUCCGGAUUGACUGGGCGUAAAGCGCACGCAGGCGGUCAUGCACGUGGGGUGUGAAAACUGGCGGCUUAACUGCCAGAGGCCACCUCAUACGGCGCGACUCGAGCCCGUGAGAGGUCCAUGGAAUUGCCGGUGUAGUGGUGAAAUGCGUAGAGAUCGGCAGGAACACCCAGGGAGAAAUCAGUGGACUGGCACGGUGCUGACGCUCAGGUGCGAAAGCGUGGGGAGCGAACCGG